NUUGUUUUCUUGGUUUAUAUUAUUAUUUACCUACAGCUUUUCUGAAUUUGUUCUUUUCCAUAUUUUACAUUAUAAUUUGUAUUAUGAGUAUGCAUAAUCAUAAUACUGGGAUUUGUUGUUACAUAUGUGUACUUGUACAUGAUAUAACAAUAUAAUUUGAUUAGUAUCAUUCUCAAGUAUUUCCUUUUCCACUCCCCUUCUCCCUUUUUUCUCCUGAUCUCCCUUUGAUUUUCAUGAGAUCCACCCUACCUCUUUUUCCUUUUUCUGCUCUAGCUUCCAGAUAUGACAGAGAACAUACAACCCUUGAUUUUCUGAGUUUGGCUUAUUUUGCUUAAGGUAAUGCUCUGUUGCAUCCAUUUUCCUACAAAUUACAUAAUUUCAUAUUUCUUUAUUGCUGAAUAAAACUCCACUGUGUAUAUGUACCAUAUUUUUAAAUCCAUUUAUUCACUGAUAAGACUCCUAGGCUGGUUAUGUUGUUUGACUAUUGUGAAUUGUGCUGCUAUAAACCUGGGUAUGCAUGUAUCACUAUAGUAUGAUGACUUUAAUUCUUUAGGCUAAAUACUGAGGAGUGGUGUGGUUGGGUCAUAUGAUGGGUGACAUUCCUAGUCUUUUGGGGAAACUGCAUACUAAUUUCCGUGGUGGCUGUGCUAAUUUACAAAUCCACCAACAGUGUACAAGUGUUCUUUUUUCUUCACGUUUACUCCAGUAUUUAUUAUUUUUAUCAUUGUCAUCUUACUCUCUUCCUCUUGCAAUUCUUCUUCCUCCUCCUCUUUUUUCUCUUGUUCCUUUUUUUCAUAUUGGGAUUGAAUCCAGGGGUGCUUUACCACUGAACUGCAUUUUUAUAUCUUUUUUGUACCAGGGAUUGAAUUCAGGAGUACUUGACCACUGAGCCACAUCCCCAGCCCUGUUUUGUAUUUUAUUUAGAGACAGAGUCUCACUGAAUUGCUUAGCACCUCGCAGUUGCUGAGGCUGGCAUUGAACUCAUGAUUCUCCUGUCUCAGCCUCCCAAGCCGCUGGGAUUACAGGCAUAGGCUACCAUGCCUGGCUGCAUCCCUAGAUCUUUUUAUUUUUUAUUUGAAGACAGGGUCUUGCUAAAUUGCUGAAACUGGCCUUGAACUUGGGAUCCUCCUGCUUGAGUCUCUGGGAUUACAGGUGUAUGCCAGUGUGCCUGGCAUCUUUUUUUUUUCCUUGCCUGAUUGCUCUGGCUAAGACCUGCAGGAAUAUGAGAAGGGGGACAUCCUUGUUUUGAUCUAGAUCUUAGAGUAAAGGCUUUCAGCUAACCCCCAUUGAGUAUGAUGUUAACUGUGACUUAUUGUACAUGACCUUUAUUGUGUUGAGAUUCAUUUCUUCUGUAACUUAAGAUUUUUUUCCUAUGAUAUUGAAUUUUGUCAAGUCCCUUUUUCUAUCUUUUGAGAUAAUCAUAUAAGUUUUGUCCCUUUUCCUGUUAAUGUGGUGUAUCACAUUUAUUGCUUGCUUAUGUCGAAUGUCAGAGAAUGCCAAAUAGUUUUUCUAUUUAUUGAGAAAUGAAACCACACUGAGACCAAAAGAAUCAUGGAAUUAUUUUGACACAAUUUCAAAACUCCUGCUCAUUCUGAACAUUGACUCAUGAAGAUCAUCUACUGGGUUGCUGUCCUGGGUAUUUCCAUCUUUCUACCUCUAAUAAGAGGUAAAAAAGUAAUCUCUUUCCAAUAGUCUUAUCAAUUUCACAGUAAAAGAAGAUAACUUGUCUCUGUGCAGAAAUUAGGAUUUUGCAAUCUAGAAAAACAAAUGAGGGAGGCACAAAGUCUAUAAAGUCAUAUCAGAUGUUAGCAGAGUGGACCUACAUUUACAUAUCAAGCCCCAGGUCACUGAAACUUGGAACUGGAGUACUAUGAGAACAAAAUAUCUCUUUAUUAAAACAAUUCAACUUAAACAUUAACUAAAAAAAGUAGAUCACAGAACUUUGAAAGUAGCUCUGCCUUGACACAAUUAGAUCCCUCACGUCUUAACUAUUAUCAGUCACAGCUUUAAUCUAACCUUGGUUUUAUCUCUAAACUUUGAUUUAAAGUUGCGUAUUAAUUCACCUUGAAUCCUUCCUUUAAGUUUAUCCAUGAAGUAUUUUUUGAGUGCCUGUUAUAGACAAAUCACACUUUGUAGGCAUCAAAAAGGAAUUGUCCACUAUGCCAUCCUCCAGGAGUUUGCAGCAUACUUCAGGAAAAUGAGAUCCAUUUUUGAACUAGAUGGACAAAUAUAUUUUAAAAAAUCUGUACCAAGGAUCAAACCUAGGGCCUUGCUCAUGCAAGGCAAGUGCCCCACUACUGAGUUAUAUCUCUAGCCCCCAAUAUUAGCUUUAACAAAAGAUUAAUUUUGAAAAUGGAUUCUCUGAUAAGUGGAUUGGAGAGGAAAUGAGGUUCAGCAGGGUCUGAAAAGAUCUGCAAAGGUCUUACUUGAACUAGACUAAAUGGACUUAGGCUAGCCCAAAGCUGGUAAUGGGCACUGUGAUCUGAAGCCUAUAGGCUAGGCUGGCAUGGGAAGAGUUGGGGACUUGAGUUUGGCUAACUGACAGAGGACUAGGUUGUGACCUGCUAAGGAAUGAGGAGCUAUGGUAGUUUUCCUUUUAAAUGCUUUGUUUUUCCCAAAAUUAUCAAUGUUCAUUUUUUUUAAAGUUCCAUGAGGCUUAUCCUGAAAAUCAGUUAUCACAUUCAGUCCCUCUUCCCUCUCAGCUCCUCCAGCUAAAUUUGUUAGUAUUGACUUUGAUCUCUCCACAUGAAAUAUUUAUAUUGCAACUUCAUGAUUUUUCUGUUAGGCCUUAUCAAUUGACUUUAUCUGGUGGAAGAUGGAGAUUUAGGUGUUCCGUGAUCAUCCUCCAUUAUAGAUGCUUCCAGUCCCUCUGUUUUGUCCAUAUCAUGUGUCAUUGGGUUGGAUUAAUAUCUAUUCUGACAUUUCUAAGAAUGUAUGCACCCUAUUCAAACUGAGCCAGGCUGUAUGUGAUGACUUACUUUCCUCUUCUGGCACAAAUUAAUUUUCCAUGGAGUUAUAAGUCUUGUUAGUUCACAUGAUUUUUCUGUUAGAAGCCCAGACUGAUUCCCAUCUGUACACAUCUCCUAGUAUUCCAUCCAUUUCCUCUUUUUUUUUUAAUUUUUUUUUUUUUAGUUUUACAUGGACAUGAUAUCUUCAUUUUGUUUAUUUUAAUGUGGUGCUGAGGAUCGAACCCAGUACCUCACAUGUGCAAGGUAAGCGCUCUGCCACUGAGCUACAGCCCCAGCCCCAGCCCCCAUUUCCUCUUAAAGAAUUGUCCAUGAGGAAACCUGCUGCCCUGUCCUUUACCUGAGGUGAGAAUGUGCUUGCAUUGCCUUCCAGCUUCUUGUGUGACUUCUGUGGAGAUAUCAGCCACUCUGAAUUUUGGCUCUUCCUUUGUUAUUUAGCUUGUAUUGUGUCUUCGGUGUUCUAAAAUUUCACAAACGAGUCUUAUUGACCUGUUAUUAUCUGGCACCCAUUGUACAUCAUGCUAUUGUCCAUUUCAGGCUGGAAACUCAUGUCGUUUUCUUUUAAGGAAUUUUUUGAAAUUAAUUUCUUUGAUAAUUUCAUUCUUUCACAUGUCUCUGUUUCCUGUUUUUGGAAUUUUUUAAGAGAUGUUGGUCAUUUUAUCUCCUGUUUUCUAUAUUUUGGUCUUUUUUCCCAUAUUUUUGUCGUUUGUGAGAGAUUUUUCUGUUUUUCCUUCCAACUCUUCUAAUGUCCAAGGACUCUCUCACAUUUUAUACCAGUCAGUUUUUACUUUGUAACCUUAACAUCUUUUAUUAUCUUAGUAUGUUCUCUUAUCAACAUAAAAUAUUCACUUAUCAGCACAGCAGUCAGAGUGAUCCCUUAAAAUAUGUCAUGUCAUUCUUCUCUAAAAGUUUUGCGGUGACUCCACACUGAACUCAGAGGAUAAGCCUACAUCCCACAGUGGUAGACAGGGCCCACUGUGCUCUCUCCACCCUCACUUCUCUGGCAUUAUCUGCUGUGCUGCCUCCUCAACACUCUGUUCUAGCCAUCCUCGUCUGUGAUCCCUAACUUCUGACCUACUCCCAUCCUAGGACUUCAGCUUUAGUUGUUCCUUCUCUCAAGAAUUCUUCCCUCCUUUAAGAUUUUGUUCAAAUUGCUUAUUCUCAGUUAAAGCCUGCCCUGACCUCUUUUAUAUUGCAACUUUCCCUCACAUCCAUCACAUCCAUCCCUAGCACCAGCACUGUCUUCCUUUUGCUCAUCUCCUCCUUAUCCAUUAAUAGUAUGUCACUUUGUAACAUGCUACUUAAUUUACUUACUUACUUUUCCAUCUUUACUCCAGUUAGAAUAUGAGUUUACAAGGGCAAACAUGUUCCCUCCCUCCCUCCCUCCCUUCCUCCCUUCCUUCAUUUCUGUCUUUCUUUGACUUUAUUGGGGUAUAACUGACAAAUAGAAAUUGUGUGGCUUUUUUUAAAUUUUUUUUUUCUCUUAGCUGGGCAGAGUGGUGCAUGCCUAUAAUCUCAGUUAGUCAGGAGACUGAAGCAAGAAGAUCACAAGUUUGAGGCCAGCCUGGGCAACUUAGCAAGACCUUGUCUCAAAAGAUAAAAAAGGGCCAUGGGUUUGUAGCAGCUCAAUUCACAAUAGCUAGGCUAUGGAGCCAACUUAGGUGCCCUUCAACAGAUGAAUGGAUAAAGAAAAUGUAGUAUAUAUACACAGUGGAUUAUUAUUCAGCCAUUAAGAAGAAUGGUUUUAUGACAUUUGCUGGCAAAUGGAUGGCUCUAAAGACUCUCGUACUAAGUGAAAUAAGUCAGUCCCCCAAGCUAAAGAUUGAAUGUUUUUGCUGAUAUGUGGAAGCUAAACCACAAUAAAGGAGGGGGAGAGAAGUUCACUGGAUCAGACAAAGGGGAAUCAAGGAAAGGGAAGGGGUAUAGGAAAAGGAAAGACAGUGGAAUGAAUCUGACAUUAUUUUCCUAUGUGCAUAUAUGAAUACAUCAGAGUGAAUCCCACCAUUAUGUUUAUUCAUAAGAAUGAGGUCUUAAUUAGAAUAAGAUAUAUUCCAUGCUUGUAUAAUUAUAUCAAAAUGGAUUCCACUAUCAUGUAUAACUAAAAAGAACCAAUAAAAGGGGCCAGGGAUAUAGCCCUGUGGUAGAGCACCCCUGGGUUCAAUUCCUAAUAUUAAAAACAAACAAAAAAACAUGAAACUUAAGAGGUACUGUCCAAGUCAAGAAAUCUAACUUGGGUGUCCUGGGCAGCUAGAAUAGCAUUGGCAGCUUAGUGAAAGGUGACAUAGUUAAUGUGCCCUGAGAACUGCCUGACUUCCUUAUGGCUGGGAGGUUAUCACAGGAGGAAUCUUGGGAGAGGAUACAGGCAGGUGUGAUCUUGGAGAGCCCUUUGUGUCAUGGGCAAGAGUCUGGCUUCUAGACCUCUUCCCCAGUUGGAGGUCCUGCCCUUCUCUUCACUCUCAGCUCAUCCUUUAAAUCUAAUAAAUGAGAUCAGAAAAAGUAUCACAUUUCUUCUUCUCUAACACUAUAAGAUUAGAACAGGAAACCCCUGUCUCGACUCCUGACACCGUACAAAAACAGGCUCCUUUGGGUAAAGAUUAGAAGCAGCUCCUGAAAAGACUGGAGGAGCACAAAAGGAAGUGGAGCAAGAUAAUUGGAGAAGAGUUGCUACCAAUAACUGGGGAAACUUGCACAAAAAGAAGAUGGCUAUUUGUGGGACAUUAGGACAUUGGAGGGGGCAAUCUGGUCUUAAAGAAUACUUCCAGUAUUCAGGGAGAGGUGCUCUGAUAAUAGACUAUCAAGAAUAACUUUAUGUGUUAAGCUGAGGUUGUGGCUCAGUGGUAGAGUGCUUGCCUAGCAUGUGUGAGGCACUGGGUUCAAUCCUCAGCACCAUAUUAAAAAAAAUAAUAAGGUAUUGUGUCCAUCCACAACUAAAAAUGUUUUUAAAAAGUAACUUCAUGUGAUAGUGUUUACAAAUUGAAAUUAAUUAUUUUUUUAUUGUUGUUGUUGUUCUGGGCAUUGGAUCCAGGGCCUCACACACACUCAGGGUAAGUGUUCUACCAUUUGUUUGUUGGUACUGAGGAUUGAACUCAGGGGUGCUUUUACCACUGAGAUAUAUCUCCAGUCCUUUUUUAUUUGCUUAAUUUUGAGACAGGGUCUUGCUAAUUUGUUGAGAAUUUCUCUAAGUUAUCAAGGCUGGCUUCGAAUUUGCAAUCCUCCUGCUCAGCCUCCUGAGUUUCUGGGAUUAUAGGCAUGCACAACCAUAUCUGACUCCUCUGAUGAGUCAAUUUUAGCAAUUUGUAGUUUAUAUUUUUAAAAACUUUUUUGGCUAUGUACAGGGUAAUCCCAGUGACUUGGGGGUCUAAGGCAGGAGUAUUGCAAGUUCCAGGACAGUCUUGGCAAUUCAGUGAGGCCCUGUCUCAAAACAUAAAGCAAGUGCUGGGGAUGUAGCUCAGGGGUAGUGCACCCCUGGGUUCAAUCCCCAGUACAGAAGGAGAAAAUGUAUUUUUUCAAAAAAUAAAAUAAUAAAACUGACUCAGAAAGAAAUGGAAAAUCUGAAAAGAUCAACUAUUCAGAUAGAUCAACUCUGGUGGGUAGGAAAUGGGACACUGAAAAUUUUACUGCCCCCAAAUUUUCAGUCCCAAUUGGAAAAUAUUGUGGAAAAUUUCUAAUACACCUUUAAGAAACCUUGUAGGUAGUCUUACAUUCUAAAAUCUGACACCUUUAAGAAACCUUGUAGGUAGUCUUACAUUCUAAAAUCUGAAGUGUCAAAAAAAAAAAUUAGUGGCAUUAUCAUUCAUUUUAUAAGCCUAGCAUAAUCCCCAUAUCAAAGCUUAUCCAAAUAAGUGUGCAAAAAACAUACCCACCAAACACCUAUAUAUUUUGAUUUUUAAGAUUGUAAAUAAUAAGACAAUAAAACUUAGCUGUGAAUUAAAAUAAAUAGGCAAAAUUAAAGGUAUAUUAAGAAAAUCUGUUUCUGGGCUUCCUGGUUUCCAUGUCUUGAGCUGCUUUCCUCAGCUACACCUUCUGCCAUAAAACCUCAUCUUGGACCCAGAGCUAAGCUGACCAUGGACUGAACCUCUGAAACUGAGGGUAGAUCUAGAGAAAGCAACAGCUGUGUUGAAAUAAUCCUGUUUAAUCAGAAGAAAAUUUCUACACAUACGAGACAGAGUAUAUAGAUUGGAAAUAAAAAGAACUGAGUCUUAGUGCCACCAUUUGCUAUUGUAUCUUUGGAAACUGAUAAACCAACCUUAAAUCAAAUAUGGAAAUGCAAGAGACCACCAAUGCCAAAACAAUCUUAAGAAGAACAAAGUUGACUCACAUGUCCAGAUUUCAAAGCUUUCACAAAGGAACAAUAAUCAAGACAUUGUGGUACUGGCAUAAGAAUAUCAUAUAGAUCAAAGGAACAGAAUUUAGAAUCUAUAAAUAAAUCCCUGAUGUUAUGGUAAAAAGAAAAUCUGCUAUGUACUUCAUUACCCAAUAGGUGACAGAAAAAUCAUAAGACCAUCUAGAUGAAAUUCAGUGUCUAAUAUUACUUUAUUAAAAAUAAAGCCCUAGGCAGGGGGUUAGCAAUGAUGAUGGAAUGUGAUGGACAUCAUUAUCCAAAGUACAUGUAUGAAGAUAUGAAUUGGUGGGAGAGAAAGGGAGGGAGAAGGGGAAUACAUGGAUGGUGAAAGGAGACCCUCAUCAUUAUGCAAAAUACAUGUAUGAAGAUGUGAAUUUGGUGUCAACAUACCUUAUAUAUAAUCAGAGAUAUGAUAAAUUAUUAUAUAAUGGUGUUUUAAGAAUCGUGAUGCAAAAUAAAUAAGAAAAAAAGAUGAAUUGGU
rnacentral:lncRNA from 1 species